CGAAGCAACGCGAAGAACCUUACCAGGCCUUGACAUGCAGAGAACUUCCAGAGAUGGAUUGGUGCCUUCGGGAACUCUGACACAGGUGCUGCAUGGCUGCCGUCAGCUCGUGUCGUGAGAUGUUGGGUUAAGUCCCGUAACGAGCGCAACCCUUGUCCUUAGUUACCAGCACGUUAUGGUGGGCACUCUAAGGAGACUGCCGGUGACAAACCGGAGGAAGGUGGGGAUGACGUCAAGUCAUCAUGGCCCUUACGGCCUGGGCUACACACGUGCUACAAUGGUCGGUACAAAGGGUUGCCAAGCCGCGAGGUGGAGCUAAUCCCAUAAAACCGAUCGUAGUCCGGAUCGCAGUCUGCAACUCGACUGCGUGAAGUCGGAAUCGCUAGUAAUCGUGAAUCAGAAUGUCACGGUGAAUACGUUCCCGGGCCUU
rnacentral:rRNA from 1 species